GCCGGGCACAGUGGCGCAUGCCUGUAAUCCCAGCAUCUUGGGAGGCUGAAGCAGGAGGAUUGCAAGUUCAAAGCCAGCCUCAGCAAUGUACCAAAACCAUGUGCACCUCAGCAAGACUGUGUAUCUA
rnacentral:sRNA from 1 species